rnacentral:rRNA from 1 species
UACGAAGGGGGCUAGCGUUGCUCGGAAUCACUGGGCGUAAAGGGUGCGUAGGCGGGUCUUUUAAGUCAGGGGUGAAAUCCUGGAGCUCAACUCCAGAACUGCCUUUGAUACUGAGGAUCUUGAGUUCGGGAGAGGUGAGUGGAACUGCGAGUGUAGAGGUGAAAUUCGUAGAUAUUCGCAAGAACACCAGUGGCGAAGGCGGCUCACUGGCCCGAGUACUGACGCUGAGGCACGAAAGCGUGGGGAGCAAACAGGGAAGUUAAGAAACCCCGGGUU